rnacentral:rRNA from 1 species
AACGAACGUUGGCGGCGUGGAUUAGGCAUGCAAGUCGAACGAAGCUAGCCUGUGCAGCAAUGCACGGGCUAGACUGAGUGGCGAAAGGGGCAGUAAGGCGUGGGUAACCUACCCUGGGGACCGGGAUAGCCGUUCUAACGGACGGGUAAUACCGGGCGAUGUAGCUGGAGGGCAUCCACUGGCUACCAAAUGAAUUUCGCCCUGGGAGGGGCUCACGUGGUAUUAGCUAGUUGGUGAGGUAACGGCUCACCAAGGCUGAGAUGCCUAGCUGGUGUGAGAGCACGACCAGCGCCACUGGCACUGAGACACUGGCCAGACUCCUACGGGAGGCAG